rnacentral:lncRNA from 10 species
GUGGAUGGUGACUCUAAGACCAGGAUUCAACACACCUAGAAGGCUUUGACUCUGAUACCAGUCACAGAAGGCUCUGUGACUCUUCUAUUUUCUCUAGGUCAUGCAAAUGGAGGCGGAUUUUGACAUAUCAUAAAGCCAACAUAAUACACAGUCUGCAGGUGGAAUUGGGACUCUCAUGCAUGGAUCCAGUUCAUCAUUGAUACUGUGACUCAUGUACUUGGAUGCAACUCACAGGAGGUGUUGACGCUUUUUACCUGAAGCUGGGACAUGUGUGGAAUUGUGAAUCCUAGCCCUAGAUCUUCCCACAGGUAUGAUUGUGACAUAUACUUUUGCCUAGCACCUGAGUGAUUUUACUUCCCUGCCUGGGCCCAGCUCUCAGAAAAGAUUGUGAUGUGACUCUCUUGCUUAAGCCCUACCUACAGAGGGUAUUGUGAAAUUUCACUGGGCCCAGCACUUAGGUCAUGUGACUCUUAUUUUCAGCCUGGGCCCUGUCCACAAAGUCUUUGUGAGAUAUCACUGAGCCCAGCAUCUCCAUGAUGUGACUGUACUGCCUGGGCCCUGCCCACAGUAGGUAUUGUGAAAUACUUCUGAACCCAUUACCUAGGUGAUGUAACACUCCUCCUUUGCCUGCAUUCUGCCACCCCCCAAAAAUGAACUGUGACAUACCACAGGCCCAAGCACUUAGGUGAUAUAACUCUCCUCUUCUGCCUGGGCUCUGGCCUCAGGGGAGAUUGAAACAUUGUACUGAGCCCAGUUUGCAGGUGAUGUGACCCUCUAUCUUAGGCUCUGCCCAUAGGAGGUAUCAUGAUAGAUCUCUAUGGUCAUAAUUUAGGUGCUGUGACUCUUCUAUUUUCUCUAGGUCAUGCAAAUGGAGGGGGAUUGUUACAUAUCAUAGGGCCAACACAAAAAUAAUGUAAAACUCCUGCCUGAGCCAUGCCCAUAGAAGGCAUUGUGACAUAUCACCCGUCACAGCACUCAGGUGGGAUUUUGACAUAUAACUGCACCCAGCACACAGGUGAAGUAUCUCGUAUGCUCAUCCUGCCAAAAGUUAUGAGUGUCACCCUCACACAUGGACAGAGACCUCUGGUUAGGUCUUGAAUCUUGUACAUGGACACAGUCCGCAGUUGGAAUGUCAUAUGUAGAUCCAGCCACAGGUGUGAUGUUGACCUAUUUAUAAAGUUAGCUCACAGGCACAUUGAUAACUCUCAUACCUGGAUCCAGCCAAUAAAAG